rnacentral:rRNA from 1 species
GGCAAAUGUUGUUCGGAAUCACUGGGCGUAAAGGGCGCGUAGGCGGGUUCUUAAGUUAGGUGUUUAAUCCCGGGGCCCAACCCCGGACCGGCACUUAAAACUGGGAAUCUUGAAUAGUGGAGAGGUCAGUGGAAUUGGGGGUGUAGCGGUGGAAUGCGUAGAGAUCCCCAAGAACACCAGUUGCGAAGGCGGCUGACUGGACACAUAUUGACGCUGAGGCUCGAAAGCAUGGGGAGCAAACAGG